UCCGAAAAGCCUUCUCUUCUUCUUUGUUCUCCUCUUCACUUUGACUAGGAGGGUCAGGUAACACAGCAUGGACCCUGUCACUGGCCAUUUCUGUCAUAUGAUUGGCACCUGCUGUGGUCAGCAGAAAAAAGCAACAGGAAAAAGAAACCUUGUGAUUCGCUGGACUUUGAAGCCAACAAAACAAACUGCAGCUGGUCCCACUGUGAACAUUUGUCUCAUUUAGUACUUCUAAGAACAUGAGCAAACGCAGCGAAAUGAUUCAACACAAAGUCAGCAUUAAAACUUCUGAUCAGAUGUUGAGUUUUGGAUGAAUGCAAAGAGUUCAUAAAGAAAUGCAUGAAUAACAAGAGAGUGACAAGGUGGUAUGUACUAACAUUCCUAGAAUUAAAAAAAAAUAAUAAUAAUACUAAUUACACAUUUGGUAACAUAUAACCUGCCUUACAAAAUUAAUUCUUUAAAAUGCACCCUGCAGUGUCACUGACUCCGUCUUCACUGAAACAGAUAUCUGAUCUUGCUUUAACUUGUCUUUUGCUUUCCUAUUCUGAACCAAAAAGAUGCGCAGAUGGCCCACAGUUACAGAUAAGUGCAGGUGGAAUAGUUUUAGCUAAUGAGUACGUGAAUUAUACCAGCGGUCACUGAGGUCACUAUGGUGAUUAAGAUGCUUAUUGAGCAUUCAACUUUAUGGAGACUGCUCUUUGUAUGCUGCCUUGCUGCCUGAGGUCUUUCAGCAGUAGUUUAUUGCUCUUUCCUCUCCAUGUUCUGCCAGCUUCCUGCCAGCUUCCUGCCAGCUUCCUGUGUCUGUCCGGAGCAGGGGCUGCUAUUCAAGCGCUGACCCCCAUUGUAAGCUACUCCUCGCAAAUACCAGUGAAGGACAUCCUGGAAUGGACACAGUCCACCGCUGAAGGUCCAGAUGCGUCGGACACAGCCAGGGGCCCACUGCACUGCUUUUGAGGUGUAGAGAUUGUUCGAGGAUGUUUGCAGCAGCUGACUGUGAGGCAGCACCAACGGAUACUAAUCUGCAGAGGGAGCCACAGAGAGCUUUUCUCUCACUGUCCUGACUGCACGUCCCGUGUCCAACCAAUCUACAUGUUUUAGCGUUGCUUUACACUUUCAAUGCUUUUUAAAACUUUUGAUGGCACAUUUGAAUCAAAUGAAUUUAAUGCAUUACCAAGAAGCUACUUCUCUCAUUAAAUGUUUUUCUCCUACACAUUUAUCGACAGGGUUUUUUCUGUGCUACCUGCUUAGUUUUAUCUUGCAGUGUUGCAAACUUUUGUU